GCCUUCGCAACUUGAUGUUGAGUAACAGUUUUUUUUUUAAAGCAUUCAAGGCUUACAGUCACAGUGAUGUCUGAAUGAACAUAAGUGUAUGAAGUGGGACACAUGCCUUGAUGUCCAGCCAGCUGCACCCAGGAGCUUUGCCGCCGCAACGACCAGUGCAUCAUCGUCAGGGUCAUCCGUGUACUCUGAGAAGAGCUCAACCUCCACCAUUUGUUUCUGCUCUGCUGCUCCAGUCAGGAAGGCUGGGAGGAACAGCAGCGUUCCCAGAGUCUUCAGCAGGUCAGAUCGGUAUCGCAGCAUGCCCUGAACACAACAGAACCACAGAUGUCACAUGCCCAAUGAGAAGCUUCAAAUAUAUCCACCACAACCAUUCAGAAAAUGGAUGCACUCAAAUAGCAUUUAAUACCAAAACUCUGAUGUCAGUGUUACUCACAAAUAUUAAAUUAUAUUUUAUCUUAAUUGACUAUUUUGAACCAGCCCCUAUACAAAAUUGUUUUAUUAAAAUGUGUGUAGCAGGAUACCAACAUGCUGUUAUUCAAAGUCUGGAAAGGAGUGGGCAACACGAUUUGCACUCAGUGAAAAUGUUCAGGUCAGCCUGCAUCUGUUUCCUUCAUCUUAUCAAGUGAGUCACCAGAACACAAAGAACUUGUUGCAGUGGGGUUCUGCAGCUGUAGGGUUAAAAAGAUUUGUACUCACAAAGCGAGAGCUGGAAGCCUUUAGCAUCUGUUUUGCCUGAGAAGCCACACAAAAGCAUCAACUCCUAAAUGUUGGCAUUCUGACUGUCGAAAAACAUGCUGCUGCCUAAGAGGGUGAAGCUUACAGAGCGGGCGGAAGCUGCAACCUGACCUCCAUCCUGAGAAAAACAGGUCGUCUUUAUCAUGAACAUCCCCAACUGCUGAUUGACGGGUGAGUCGGGCAUCUCAAGCUGCAAAGAGAUCUGGUAGACCUGACCGAAUGUCAGCACCUGUGUAUGUAAGGAACAGCAUCAGAACUGUAUGAUCUAGAGAACUACAAAGAUGUUUGAAAGCAUAAAAAUGUACAGACGUUUUUCUUGUUUCUCAUCAGGGAAAUGUUGGCCAUGGGAUAUGAGCACAAAAAAGAAGAGGGAGAUACACAGUCCAUCCUGCAGACAACAAUAUAUCUGGUAGAAUGAAUGUAAACAGAAAAAAAUAAAUGUUUUUUUUAGUUGUAUCUACUCAACAACAUGUUUUAACUGACCUGUAGUAAUAGUGAACAGGUGUGGAAAAUGCUGCUGUGGGCAUGUAAGAAUAGUAGAAGCUCCCAUACAAAAAGGCAGCGAUCGAGAGUAGCAGAAGAAUAACAGAGAGCACAGUUAGGCCCUGUGCAAGUCUCUCACGAACUCGCAACAUCGCCGUGGCAACCGCAUCCUGAAGCUUCAACAGGAUAGAAGUGAUGAUGAGGGAAGGCUCCUCGACACCACCUGAAGGCACAUGACUUUCUUGGUCCAUUAAGUCUAAAAA